rnacentral:rRNA from 1 species
GAUGAACGCUGGCGGCGUGCCUAAUACAUGCAAGUCGAACGAAACUUCUUUAUCACCGAGUGCUUGCACUCACCGAUAAAGAGUUGAGUGGCGAACGGGUGAGUAACACGUGGGCAACCUGCCCAAAAGAGGGGGAUAACACUUGGAAACAGGUGCUAAUACCGCAUAACCAUAGUUACCGCAUGGUAACUAUGUAAAAGGUGGCUAUACUACCGCUUUUGGAUGGGCCCGCGGCGCAUUAGCUAGUUGGUAGGGUAAAGGCUUACCAAGGCAAUGAUGCGUAGCCGAAUUGAGAGGGUGAUCGGCCACAUUGGGACUGAGACACGGCCCAAACUCCUACGGGAGGCAGCAGUAGGGAAUCUUCCACAAUGGGCGAAAGCCUGAUGGAGCAACGCCGCGUGGGUGAAGAAGGUCUUCGGAUCGUAAAACCCUGUUGUUAGAGAAGAAAGUGCGUGAGAGUAACUGUUCAUGUUUCGACGGUAUCUAACCAGAAAGCCACGGCUAACUACGUG